UUCCGGUUGAUCCCGCCGGACCCGACUGCUAUUUGGGUGAGAAUAAGCCAUGCGAGUUGAAUGGAAUACCUAAAUUUUCCAUAGCAAACUGCUCAGUAACACAUGAUCAACUUACCCUAUAGAGAAAAAUAACCUCGGGAAACUGAGGAUAAUGUUUCAUAGUUGAAAAGGCUUGGAAAAGUUUUUCAAUCAAAAGGAUAAGAAAAAUGGUUUUUAUCCGCUAUAGGAUAGGAUCGUGGUCGAUUAUGGUUGUUGGUGAGGUAAUGGCUCACCAAGCCGAUAAUCGAUAGGGGCCGUGAGAGCGGGAGCCCCGAGAUGGAUACUGAGACAACGACCCAGGCCUUACGAGGCGCAGCAGGCGCGAAACCUCCGCAAUACACGAAAGUGUGACGGGGUUACCCAAAGUGUUCAAUUUUGAACUGUGGUAGGUGAGUAAUGUUCCCUACUAGAAAGGAGAGGGCAAGGCUGGUGCCAGCCGCCGCGGUAAAACCAGCUCUUCAAGUGGUCGGGAUAAUUAUUGGGCUUAAAGUGUCCGUAGCCGGUUUAGUAAGUUCCUGGUAAAAUCGGGUAGCUUAACUAUCUGUAUGCUAGGAAUACUGCUAAACUAGAGGGCGGGAGAGGUCUGAGGUACUACAGGGGUAGGGGUGAAAUCUUAUAAUCCUUGUAGGACCACCAGUGGCGAAGGCGUCAGACUGGAACGUGCCUGACGGUGAGGGACGAAAGCCAGGGGAGCGAACCGGAUUAGAUACCCGGGUAGUCCUGGCCGUAAACGAUGCAUACUAUGUGAUGGCAUGGCCAUGAGCCGUGUCAGUGCCGUAGGGAAACCGUUAAGUAUGCCGCCUGGGAAGUACGGUCGCAAGGCUAAAACUUAAAGAAUUGGCGGGGGAGCACCACAAGGGGUGAAGCCUGCGGUUCAAUUGGAGUCAACGCCCGGGAAUCACUAGUGCGGGCCGCCUGCAGGUCGACCAUAUGGGAGAGCUCCACGCGUUGGAUGCAUAGCUUGAGUAUUCUAUAGUGUCACCUAAUAGCUU
rnacentral:rRNA from 1 species